UCUCUACUUGAUUUCCAAUCCAAAAGUCAAAUUAAGAGGCCCAAUCACAGAAUUAAAGAGCAGGCCCCAAACUCACACUUUUUUUUUAUUUAUUGGCCCAGCUCUUAAUUAAAAGAGGAAGGCCCAAAACUAACCUACUCUCACCCAAAUCCAUCGGCUCCUCCCUCAUUCUCACAUUUUCCCUAAAUUGAAAACCCUAAGGAGGAAACGGCUCCUUCUUUCUCCUUCCGGCGAGCUCUCUCUCGAAUCUCACAUCGGUUCUGGGCUCACUACCCUUUUCUACCGAUGUCACGGAGGGGUCCCGUCCCUCCGUCGCGCUGCUGGUUCGUCGACUAACAACAAAAGAACAAGGAGGUAUCGCCUGCUAUCAUUCACGGCUGUCCCUACCGUACGACUCGGCUUCCCCGGUCGACGUCUUCCUCGCGUCGCCGGCGCCCGACAGCUCCUCUUCUCGGCGCGCCUAUGCACUGCCGGCGGUCGCUAUUCGCCUCCGCUCCACGGAGCCCGCGCGGUGGCCUCCCAGACUCCGUUUGUAGCCGACGGCCAGUUCCUCGUAUUCUAAGCUAAGUUCCCAUCCUUUAUGAAGUUCUAACCUUGAAUUCAUUUCUUAAGGCAGCAGCUAUGUGGAAAAUUAUUAUUUGAUCAUUGAGAGCUAUUUGAAAUGUGGGGUCCUAGCAUGUUUGAGGUUGUGGGUUGCUGCUAUGGUUGUGAUGAUAAAACAUGCUUCUGUUACUGUCAUGCAUGGGUGAAAGUCCUAUUGUGAGCUAUGUUGGGUUUUAACUAUAUGAUGAGAUGAUAUUUGGGUAAGGGAAAGCAGGUGCGUGUUACCUCUUGAAGGUAAUCUCCUGUUUCUUUUUUGAUCCUCUGCCCUUAGCAACAAAGUUCACUGCCUACUUGAAGUUCCUAGUUGUAAUGAGAGGGAAAGGGGUGAGUUUCGGAUUUUUAGCAUGAAGAAAAGUGGGAACGAGGAAGUUGAUUACCUAUGGAGUGUAGGCGUUGCCUGCAAUUCAGAGCUCUACUCCAAGCUUUCACGUUCUCACUUGCUAUAGUGGUCGAAAAUUUUGAAGUAUGUGGAGGGGAGUUUUGGAGGUGGUGUGGGGCUUCUUAUAGGCAAGAGUGUGGUGUACGAAGGAGAAAUAAAUGGCUGAUACUUUCACAGGUUUACAAAUCAUACCAUAUCUUCCUUUUUCUGAUUUCAUAGCUCCUUUAUCUUAAUGUAAAAUGGUGUCUAGUUUGGGUACUUAGUACUUGGCCAUUAAACAUUUUGUUUGUUCUUGCAUAGUGUACAAAGAGAGGGUGCAGGGGCUGUUUCCUUUGAGGGGAGGAAUGUGCAGCAUUGACUUGCUCCUUUUGGGUUGGGAUAAUGACUCGGCCGUCCCGCUGCUGUCCGCGACGUGGGCCCGCUGCUCGGGGCCGACGGGCUGAUCGGGUAGGGCCGCGGUGGGUGCGAUUUGUGCUCGGAAGACAAACGCCCAGAGUUUAGCAAUUUCAUAGCCCUUUGGCCAUUUCUGAAUAUUUGUAAUAGAAUAGUAUUUCACAUUUUUCUUUCCAUUCACAAAUCUCAUGUGAAACGAUCAUAUAGAUUAAUGUAUUUUGUUUCCGCGCA